UACGAAGGGGGCUAGCGUUGCUCGGAAUCACUGGGCGUAAAGCGCACGUAGGCGGGUCUUUAAGUCGGAGGUGAAAUCCUGGAGCUCAACUCCAGAACUGCCCUUCGAUACUGAGGAUCUCGAGUCCGGGAGAGGUGAGUGGAACUGCGAGUGUAGAGGUGAAAUUCGUAGAUAUUCGCAAGAACACCAGUGGCGAAGGCGGACUCACUGGCCCGGUACUGACGCUGAGGUGACGAAAGCGUG
rnacentral:rRNA from 1 species